ensembl:rRNA 5S_rRNA 5S ribosomal RNA
GCUUACGGCCACACCGGCCUGAGUACGCCUGAUCUCGUCUGAUCUCGUCCGAUCUCGGAAGCUAAGCAGGGUCGGGCCUGGUUAGUACUUGGAUGGGAGACCGCCUGGGAAUACCAGGUGCUGUAAGCU